UGCUAAAAAGCUUGUUCUACAAAUAAACUCUGGAAGGUAUCGGAAAGAGAGCUGCAUUAUUAAGAUGAAAGCAGAAAGAGAGCAGGGAUGGAGGAGAGGACAGUGAUACACUGCGUGAUUCUUAGUGGAGCACAACACGUGGGCAUGUUUGGUGGAGGCAGAGCACAAACCUCAUCUCACCCAAAGACAGACUGCCGUGUGUCAUAGUGCUAAUGCACAGAUUAUCUCAGCAGCAAAUAAAUUUUGUUGCUAAGAUUGGAGUAUUCAGGCAAUUUGGGACGUGAUUUGCUGGUAUAAAAAUACACUUUAAGAAAAUAAACUGCUGUUACGAGCAAUUUCACUUACUCAGAGGCACUGAAAGUGGGUUGGAGGAGGAAAAUGGGACGGAAGUACUAAAACCUAAGCUCCCCAUGACCAAAAAGGCUGUAACAGCUCUCUAUGCCAGCAUGGGCUCCCUUUGGUGUGCUCCUCCUGCCCUCUGUGGUUCCCUCUUGAGCCCUGAGUCAGCCCCAGCCCCGCAGCAGUGCCAUGCUCCAUCUCCUUCGGGCUCACCCUGAGCCACAAAACUGUGGUGUGGAUGUGGUUCCCCAGCACAGGGUGAAGCACAGCGCAGCCCUUGGAUACUGGCAGUGCAGGGAUGAGCUCUGGGUCCCCUCAGGGAGGGUGCACUGAGCAGCGGCCACCUGCUUUGCGUGGAAACACGGGAUGUGCUGGUAACCACUGGCUAAGGAAGCAUUUUUGGAGCUGACUACUGGCUGCAAUCAAUAUCUCUCACCACAGCUUCACGGCAGGGAAAAAUGAAAUUCAUCUCUUUUGUCACUCAGUAAUGAAACUCAAUUUCUA
rnacentral:lncRNA from 1 species